UCUUCUCCAAAGUAACAUACCUUUUGACUUCAAUUUUGAAGUAUUUCCUCUGUGUGAUUUUUCUUUGGGGCUUCCCGGCUGUGAGGUACUGGGUAGGACAGGUACCCCAGCAAGCAGACCCCUUCAUGUUACAAUCUAUCAGAUUUAUUUCUGUAUCACUAUUAUUACAUAUAUCAUAAGAGUGUUUUCUGUUCCAAACAUGGCUAUUGGGUCUAAUGGUUCCAUGAACAGAGAGACCCUAGUAUAUUGCCUUCUUGUGAACAAGAUGUUCUCUUCAUUACUUUAUAAUACACAGGCACACAAAAUUAGAUAUUAAAGUAGUUAGUCUCAAAACAGAACGCAUUGCCCAUUAGCAACAAAUUCAUUUAGUGAUAGCUUCAUCUUAAAGCAAAAAUAGCCAAGCUCAACACCGAAAAAAUACAUGUCUAUUUCAUAUGGAAAUCAUGCAGAAGUCUGUCUCCAUGUGUCAGCCCUUUGCUGCCUUCCUGUUUUGUGUUUAAAUCCUUUCACAGUGCAGCCUCAGUAGAAGAGAGGAAGAAGAUCUGCAUCUCCUGGAGCUUGAUUAAUGAAAGGACAAGAUGCAGGAUGAAGCUUAUGACAUAAACCUGAGGGUCAUAACCAUAGUCAGACCAGUUUGCUAGGACAUUCCCCAAUGACCUAUUGCCAGGAAUGGAACUACGCCAUGAAUUCCACAGAGAUCUGGAGUAAAACAAACAGAACCUUUAAACCACAGGCCAGCAGUCAUGAACCAGAGGUGGAAAACACAAAACAGGAACAAGAUGGAACUGUGUUUAAGCCAGAAAUCAAACUGUCUGUUCCCAGGCCCGAAUCCAAAAGCUUCUGCUGCACAGCCUCAUGACCCUUGCCAUGUGGGUGCUAUUGGACAAUGCAUACUGCUAUUUAUAUUGGCAUCUUCCAGGUCAACCAUCUGAUGAGGGAUGUGAGGACACGCCUGAGAGGCAACUGAAAACCGGAAGCUCUCCAGGGAAUUCUCCAGGACUCCAGCACCAGGUUUGGUCUUCUGAGUCAGCCAGUCUCAGACUGAACAACUAUGGGAUUCUUCGCCUUUCUAUGAAGAGACAGUAUUGUCACCCCACCCACACUACAGCCUGUAGAGCAUUCUGUGUCCAUUCUCUUAGCUCUGCUCCUUUCUAGGACCCUGACUAACCGAGCAGGUAAUAAGCUUCUUUUACCUUUACCCCUAUGUCUUCAGACAUGCUCUGUAGACACACUGAGCCAUCCACACCAAUUUUAUAGUGACGCUCUGGAAAUUCGAUGUUCUUCUGUUUCUUUUAGUUACAAUAAAGUCACAUUCCAGAGUCUGUAUCUGAACUAAGGCCAUCUGGGACAGGAGAGUGAUGGGCACAGUGCAGCUUUUGCUAUUUCUACACAAGGUGAUCAAGAAUGACUUAUUCUUGGAGCUUUGCCUUGCUCUUGAAUGAUUCCCCUUCUGCCCCCUUCUCUAAAUACCCCUUCCAUUCACGGGCUACAAUCAUCCUCUAGCUUUUCCAUGUCUCCAGUUUUCUGUUGAUGCCACCUUGAUCCAUGUAGGAGCCACUCUUGUAGGAUUCAUGAAACCCUGUUAUGAUCCUGUCAUUUGCUUAGAAAUGUCAAAAAGCAGUUGAGUACAGGAGGAUGGAAUACCUUUACCACAUUCUGCCCUCUCUCCCCUUCUCUGGGUUUCAUGUAGCACAGGCUGUCUUCCUGUCUCCUUGGUACCCAAAGCUGGCCAUGAACUUCUAUUUUCCCUGCUUCUACCUCCCAGAAUUAGAGGCAUGCUCUACCACAUUCAGCUUAACUGAAUAUUUCAAUAUAACCAUUGUGUAGGAUUUUUUAACAUUAUCAACACAACAUGCCUGGCAUGAUGGAUCGGCACUUACCCAUAUCUGAUUAACCCUCAGUGUAUACAUGUACAAGUCACAUUGUACCCAAUACAUAUGUACAAUUACCAUGUGUCAAUUAAAUUGAUAAACUGCAUAAUAAUAUGUUACCAAAUAACAUACUCUGAAGAAAUAAUAAAGACAGUAAAUGCCUAUAUAGUGUUUGUUAACUGUCAGGAACUCUUCUAUAUACUUAAAAUCGUUAAUCCUCAAAUCUUCUUAAUAAAGUAUAUUCACCUUCAGAAAAUGAAGAUUUUUUUGAGAAAAGAUUUUAGUUUUGUUUACAUAUAAAUGGGAUCAUGAAAUACACACUGUUUUGUUUCUCCCAAGUGUAUUUUUGCAGUAUGAAUAAAAGUGAAUAAAAUCUACCUUGUGAGAGCA